rnacentral:lncRNA from 1 species
GUGAAGCAGUUGAGUGCUGCAGCGGCAGUCGUCGCCCCUGCCGCCGCUGCCACCGAAGGAAGCAUCCCAGACACCGGGAAGAUGGAAGAUGGUACCCCAAAGCAUAUCAUCCAGAUGACAGGAUUUAAGAUGGAAGAAAAAGAAGCGCUAGUCAAAUUACUUUUAAAACUAGAUUGCACUUUUAUUAAGAGUGAGAAAUACAAAAAUUGUACACAUCUUAUAGCUGAACGCCUAUGUAAGAGUGAAAAAUUUUUAGCAGCUUGUGCGGCAGCUUUCUCUGCUGUGAUUGAUCUGACAUAUCAUUAGUCUACUGAUUGCAAAAAAAGAA